ensembl:lncRNA
CGAUCGCAGCCGCCCCGCGCCCGGCCCGGCCGACAGCAGUCAAUGGUGGCACACUUGACACUGAAGCCAGAAAGAGUCAGGCAUGGGGACUAGAAAAGCUGCUGGCUCAAAACCAUUGGUGUAUUCCCUAAAGAGGAAUCAACUGCCAAGGAUUUGCCAGGUGCUGGUUCUGCCUCCCACUUGUUGAAAUAUUGUUUGAACAGCCAAAGGAGACUUGGUUUUCUGUCAAGGUCUCUUUGCUGACGCUGCUGCUUAUUGUGACCCAGCUGUAGGCCAUGAGGACAGCAGCUCUACCACGUCAGAGGUGCUCUGCAACUUUGGGCAGUUGUUCAAGAACACAGCAAAUCCUGCUUCAGGGCUCCCACUACUGGAUCAAAAGCACCAAAGCCACAUGAGGCAAAACGCUGACACAGUUCCUAAGAACAUUUCUCAUGAGAAUCAUCAGCAUUUGCUGCCAAGAUACCCACAACUCUGAUGAUGCUUUUGUCGGCUGUUUUUGCUUCAAAGGAUACAGUGUCAUUGAAAGACUAAUGCACAGGAUCACAAUUCAUGUCACUUUUGGGGAAGACAGGGAAUCAUCAAGGGAAGACUGUGGGAUGCUAUUUUAAAGAUAAAGCUUUGUAUUCAAAUUCAUUUAGGUAGUUAAUGCAUGAAUGGAUGUGGUUUUUCAGCAGUUCAGCUGUAGAAGAUAAAAAUAGCAUUUUUUUUAAUUGAGGGAAUAUACUCGUUGAUUAUCAGUAGAAAAAAGAGGAAUAUAUUAAACUGCAGCAGGUGAACAUCAUACAAAGUUCUCUUGUUAAUAAGAUCGCAUUGAUAGAUCUACAGACUUUACAUUACAGAGUGAUUAUUUCACUGUCUCAUCAGACCUGUAGAUCAAAACUGUGAAACUUCACAGCAUUACCUCUGAGGUGAAAUAGAACUACGCAAAGCAUGUUGGUGAAGCAGAAAAGAAGAUGCUAUUCAAGUUGACAGAAGAUUUAUAGCUUUGGAUCAAAUCCACCUUCCUUCAGUUUUAAACUGAAGUGCCAUUUUCUCAUUUCUGAGCUUUGGCUAAGUGUACUGUAUUUCAGUUUAUCCAUGAAAAAGACCUGUUUUGUUUCUUCUAGACUUAGUCCAUAACAUGAUAUGCAUAACAGCACAAGUGCGUAAGUUGUCAAAACCAUGGCCCCUCCAAAUAAUAAUAAUAAUAAUAAUAAAAAGAAACAAUGAUCAUUUAAAAACCACAGUUCUGGCACAAGGAUUUCAAACAACAGAAGUUCCUAAUACUUCUUGUUUCAGAGGUUGAUCACCCAUUCUGUAUGAAAAGUACCUAAUUUCUCACACAAAUUGACGUGGCCUCAGCUUUCAGCCUUUAUCAUACUUUCCUUGGCUGUUAAAAGUCCUUCAGUUUUCUUUUCAUAAAUGCACUUAUGCACUGUAGUCUGAUUCUGAAUUUUAUUUUUAAUGGCCUAAACCUGUUGAACUCUUUAAGUCCUCAUAAUAGGGUAUUUUCUACAGGACUUGAACAAUUCAGUGACUCUGUUUUUAAGAGCAGCGAUUUUUUCAAAUGUAUCUAGCUUUUUAAUGCAUUCAUCUUUGCUAUGGAGAAAAAUGAAGCCAUCACCCAUUUUUCCUACAUUUAUACAUCCUCAGUUUAUAUUAGCCCUUUUGCUGCAGCAUCGCAGUGGAAAUGUGUUCUAUUGCUUGCCCACUUUGACCCUAAAUCAUUUCAAAGUGGUUGCUUUUCAAGACGCUGUUUUAAAUAUAUUUCAAAAUGCUGUUCUGCUGUGUGCCCUAGGUUUCUAGGUCUGCAGUAGCCAAAACUUACGUCCAUUUUGUCUGAAAAGCGUGGCUUAUCAAACAAGAGAGAUCAUUCUGUACGUGCAUUCUGUCUUCAUUUAUAUGUGCCAACACUGGUGUUACACGUGAUUGUUAUCUACAAUACCUUCUAUUUUCAAAUUAUUAACUGAAAUAGUAAUUGGAUUUAAGCUUCAUGCUAAUGUAAUCAGAUACAUCCCCACUCGAUGAAGAUUAUUUAUCACCAAGUGUUUGAGAUGUCUGCUUUAGGAACAAGUUACAUACUUCAAUUUCUUUGCAUGUAUACAUUUAAUCCCAAUACAUCUGCUACUGCUUCUGCAUUCCUGGAUGCUCCUUGUCCCUCCCUGACAUGUGCUUCCUGCC